ensembl:miRNA gmo-mir-1788 gmo-mir-1788
GGCUUGUUUUAAGUUGCCUGCGACUGUAUUUGAACACAGGCAGCUAAAGCAAGUCU